GCCACCGCAUUGACCCCUAUCAGUGGCACCACACCAGCUAUCAGCUACUCAGCCUCUAGGCCUACCAUCGGUGCGUCCACCAUCAGUGGCACCGCAGCAGCUAUCAUCCCGACUAGAGUCAUCGGCUUAUGAGCCAUCCGCAGAUCCUUCGACUUCUUCACAGCCUCACUCAGGUCAUGUUAAUUCUUCAUCAACCUCGAGUAGGCGUGGUAGAGGAUGUGCCAAGGGCAUUAGGGAGUGGGGUACCGGUACCAAAUUGGACAUACAAUUUG